GAACACAUUACAUCACAUCACAUAUCACAAUAUUACAUUACACCACAGCACUGUACAUCACAUCACACCACAUUAUUGAUCUUAAUGUAACGAAGAAUACCGAAAGUACAUGAAACUGAAUCACAUCGUAUCGUAUCGGUGUCAUUAAGCAACGUUAUACAAAAUGAUCACUCCACACCACAUCACCGCAUGCCAUAACAUCACCGCAUGCCUAUCAUGUUACGUCAUGACUCAUCACAUCACAUCCAAAUCCCCAUUAACCACAACGAAAGUACAUCCCGUCGCAUUGAAUUAAAACGUAUACUAUAAUUUAACAUCAUAUCACAUCACCACACAAAGGAAUACCGUAAGAAUAUCACAUUGAAUCUUAUUAGAGUCACUAAUAUAUGAAUUUUGGCCCGAACCGACAAACGGUUGUAGUUCCAAAUAAGAAGAAGAAGAAGAACAUCAUAUGCAUAUA